UACGAAGGGGCUAGCGUUGCUCGGAAUCACUGGGCGUAAAGCGCACGUAGGCGGAUUGUUAAGUCAGGGGUGAAAUCCUGGAGCUCAACUCCAGAACUGCCUUGAUACUGGCGAUCUCGAGUCCGGGAGAGGUGAGUGGAACUGCGAGUGUAGAGGUGAAAUUCGUAGAUAUUCGCAAGAACACCAGUGGCGAAGGCGGCUCACUGGCCCGGUACUGACGCUGAGGUGCGAAAGCGUGGGAGCAACAGGG
rnacentral:rRNA from 1 species